rnacentral:piRNA from 1 species
UAUACUUAGACCUACCUCAUAGAGUUGUU